rnacentral:rRNA from 1 species
CAUGCAAGUCGAACGGGAACCUUGUCUUCGGACGAGGGGAUAGUGGCGAACGGGUGAGUAACACGUAGGUGAUCUGUCCUUGGAGUGGGGGAUAGCCCAUGGAAACAUGGGGUAAUACCGCAUGAGGUCUUGGAACUAUGGUUCUUAGAUGAAAGGAGCAAAUGUUCCGCUUUGGGAUGAGCCUGCGGUCCAUUAGCUAGUUGGUAGGGUAAAGGCCUACCAAGGCUACGAUGGAUAGCCGGCCUGAGAGGGUGAACGGUCACACUGGGACUGAGACACGGCCCAGACUCCUACGGGAGGCAGCAGCUAAGAAUCUUCCGCAAUGGGGGAAACCCUGACGGAGCGACGCCGCGUGGACGAUGAAGGCCUAGAGGUUGUAAAGUCCUUUUGCAGACGAAGAAUAAGGCAAGGAGUGGAACGCCUUGCUGAUGACGUUAGUCUUGCGAAUAAGCCCCGGCCAAUUACGUGCCAGCAGCCGCGGUAACACGUAUGGGGCGAGCGUUGCUCGGAAUUAUUGGGCGUAAAGGGCGCGUAGGCGGUGCUAUAAGCUUGGUGUGAAAUCCCCCGGCCUAACUGGGGAAUAGCGCUGAGAACUGUAGUGCUUGAGUUCUGGAGAGGAAGCUGGAAUUCCUGGUGUAGGGGUGAAAUCUGUAGAUAUCAGGAAGAACACCGGUGGCGAAGGCGGGCUUCUGGCCAGAAACUGACGCUGAGGCGCGAAAGCGUGGGGAGCGAACAGGAUUAGAUACCCUGGUAGUCCACGCUGUAAACGAUGUGCACUGGGUGUCGGGGCUUUAAUGGGUCUCGGUGCCGUAGUUAACGCGAUAAGUGCACCGCCUGGGGAGUAUGCUCGCAAGGGUGAAACUCAAAGGAAUUGACGGGGGCCCGCACAAGCGGUGGAGCAUGUGGUUUAAUUCGAUAUACGCGAGGAACCUUACCAGGGCUUGACAUGUACCUGACGGUCUGUGAGAGCAGGCUUUCUCUUCUGGGACGGGUACACAGGUGCUGCAUGGUUGUCGUCAGCUCGUGUCGUGAGAUGUUGGGUUAAGUCCCGCAACGAGCGCAACCCCUACUGUCUGUUGCCAGCAUUAAGUUGGGGACUCGGACGGAACUGCCGGUGACAAACCGGAGGAAGGUGGGGGUGACGUCAAAUCAUCAUGGCCCUUAUGUCCUGGGCUACACACGUGCUACAAUGGCAGGUACAGCGCGCAGGAGCGAAACGGUGACGUGGAGCCAAUCGCUAAAAGCCUGCCUCAGUUCGGAUUGGAGUCUGAAACUCGACUCCAUGAAGGUGGAAUCGCUAGUAAUCGCGCAUCAGCAUGGCGCGGUGAAUACGUUCCCGGGCCUUGUACACACCGCCCGUCACACCACCCGAGUUGGGGGUACCCGAAGUCGCUUGUCUAACCCAUUUAUGGGACGACGGCGCCGAAGGUAUGCCUGGUAAGGGGGGUGAAGUCGAAACAAGGUA